GCCCGAGUGGUGGAAUGGUAGACACGACGGAUUCAAAAUCCGUUGCCGCGAGGCGUGCCGGUUCAAGUCCGGCCUCGGGUACCA
rnacentral:tRNA from 1 species